rnacentral:rRNA from 1 species
AGUUAACGUAGCAAUACGUGGCAUACGGCUCAGUAACACGUAGUCAACAUGCCCAGGGGACGUGGAUAACCUCGGGAAACUGAGGAUAAACCGCGAUAGGUCAUGAUUUCUGGAAUGGUUCAUGGCUGAAAUCUAUAUGGCCCCUGGAUUGGACUGCGGCCGAUCAGGCUGUUGGUGAGGUAAUGGCCCACCAAACCUAUUACCGGUACGGGCUCUGAGAGGAGGAGCCCGGAGAUGGGCACUGAGACAAGGGCCCAGGCCCUAUGGGGCGCAGCAGGCGCGAAACCUCUGCAAUAGGCGAAAGCCUGACAGGGUUACUCUGAGUGGUUUCCGCUAAGGAAACCUUUUGGCACCUCUACAAAUGGUGCAGAAUAAGGGGUGGGCAAGUCUGGUGUCAGCCGCCGCGGUAAUACCAGCACCCCGAGUGGUCGGGACGAUUAUUGGGCCUAAAGCAUCCGUAGCCGGUACUGCAAGUCUUCCGUUAAAUCCACCUGCUUAACAGUUGGGCUGCGGGGGAUACUACAAGGCUAGGAGGCGGGAGAGGCAAGCGGUACUCAGUGGGUAGGGGUAAAAUCCUCUGAUCCAUUGAAGACCACCAGUGGCGAAGGCGGCUUGCCAGAACGCGCUCGACGGUGAGGGAUGAAAGCUGGGGGAGCAAACCGGAUUAGAUACCCGGGUAGUCCCAGCUGUAAACGAUGCAGACUCGGUGAUGGGCCGGCUUUAUGCCGGCUCAGUGCCGCAGGGAAGCCGUUAAGUCUGCCGCCUGGG